rnacentral:rRNA from 1 species
CAGUAGCCGCGGUAAUACGUAGGUGGCAAGCGUUGUCCGGAAUUAUUGGGCGUAAAGGGCUCGCAGGCGGUUUCUUAAGUCUGAUGUGAAAGCCCCCGGCUCAACCGGGGAGGGUCAUUGGAAACUGGGAAACUUGAGUGCAGAAGAAGAGAGUGGAAUUCCACGUGUAGCGGUGAAAUGCGUAGAGACGUGGAGGAACACCAGUGGCGAAGGCGACUCUCUGGUCUGUAACUGACGCUGAGGAGCGAAAGCGUGGGGAGCGAACAGGAUUAGAUACCCCUGUAGUCCCUGUCUCUUAUAU